rnacentral:lncRNA from 1 species
CAGAGGUCCAGGUCCGGGAGAUGACAGUGGCUCCCAGAAAGCCCAGGAUUCAAUCGCUGAGAGAGUGCUUAGGCCCGAAUGCCGGCCCAAAUCGUUCUACUCACCGUGUCGGAGGCCGAGAGCGAUGAGAGUACAGGGAAGUGAGGAAGAGGGGGUGGCCGCCAGGCUCCUCCGCUUCCCUGGGUCCACCGCGGAUCCCUCCCGCUUGUCAGGAGGCGGCCAGCGGUCUCAGGACGGGCGCUUUGGAGCCGGCCCCAGGCAGCGUGUGUCGGUCGCCUAGUCUGGAGAACUAGUCCUCGACUCACGUGCAAGGAUGAUGCUGAAAGGAAUAACAAGGCUUAUCUCUAGGAUCCAUAAGGCCAAGCAUGGGGAUCAGCACGAGGGUCAGCACUACAACAUCUCCCCCCAG